ACGGCACUCAAAGUAACUCAUUUUCAAGUCAACAUAAGUGUGUCGCUUUAACGUUUGGUAACGUUCAAUUUCCAGCACGAUGACAAGCCUGCAUUAAAUGAAUAUCGUAAAGAGGUAAAAUCUUAUCCAGACGACAUAGGAGGAGACUACUCAGAUGCAGAGUUAUCUUUGUCGUGCAUGAUAUGUCACUUAAAGUUUGUGGAGAUUAAUGAUAUUUGUGGAUGUGCUGAUGAACUGAAAAUUUUAGAGAUAUUGUUGAAACAUGCCACAGUCUUGGAGAAACUGGCACUCACCAGUGAUGCAACUGAACAAGACUACCAACAGAAGAAACGUAUGGUGAAAUUUAGUGAGAUGCUGCUAAAAUUUCCUACAGCCUCUAAGAAAAUCCUUCUUAAAAUCCUGAGCGCUGUCGGAUGUUUAUGAAUUUGCCAAACAGUAGAAGUGUUUAAGAAGUGCCUCCACGCGGUACACACGGGACUGAGGAAGUCAUCAAGUAGAUAAAUAUAGUUGAUUGAUAGUUUUUUUCUUGUGAUGACAAGAUCUUCAAUGGUCUUGAGCAGCACCUGACAAAUGUUUGAGAGGAGUUCGGACCUUUCAUGUGAAAGGAUUGCUCCUACCUAGUAAUGGGUUAUUUUGUUUGUCCAGACUUGUGACUUUCUGAACUUAAAACUGCUUAGGUUUUGUCAA